CGCUCAGGUAGCUUAGUGGUUAGAGCGUCCGCCUCUGGUGCUGGAGGUCGCGGGUUCGAACCUCGGUCGAGUCA